rnacentral:rRNA from 1 species
CCUUGGGUCUGGCUGGCCGGUCCGCCUCACCGCGAGUACUGGUCCGGCUGGACCUUUCCUUCUGGGGAAUCUCAUGGCCUUCACUGGCUGUGGGGGGAACCAGGACUUUUACUGUGAAAAAAUUAGAGUGUUCAAAGCAGGCCUUUGCUCGAAUACAUUAGCAUGGAAUAAUAGAAUAGGACGUGCGGUUCUAUUUUGUUGGUUUCUAGGACCGCCGUAAUGAUUAAUAGGGAUAGUCGGGGGCGUCAGUAUUCAGCUGUCAGAGGUGAAAUUCUUGGAUUUGCUGAAGACUAACUACUGCGAAAGCAUUCGCCAAGGAUGUUUUCAUUAAUCAGGGAACGAAAGUUAGGGGAUCGAAGACGAUCAGAUACCGUCGUAGUCUUAACCAUAAACUAUGCCGACUAGGGAUCGGACGGUGUUUCUAUUAUGACCCGUUCGGCACCUUACGAGAAAUCAAAGUUUCUGGGUUCUGGGGGGAGUAUGGUCGCCAAAGCUGAAACUUAAAGAAAUUGACGGAAGGGCACCACCANGCGUGGAGCCUGCGGCUUAAUUUGACUCAAC